rnacentral:rRNA from 1 species
GACGAACGCUGGCGGCGUGCUUAACACAUGCAAGUCGAACGGAAAGGCCCUGCAUUUGUGGGGUGCUCGAGUGGCGAACGGGUGAGUAACACGUGAGUAACCUGCCCUUGACUUUGGGAUAACUUCAGGAAACUGGGGCUAAUACCGGAUAGGAGCUCCUGCUGCAUGGUGGGGGUUGGAAAGUUUCGGCGGUUGGGGAUGGACUCGCGGCUUAUCAGCUUGUUGGUGGGGUAGUGGCUUACCAAGGCUUUGACGGGUAGCCGGCCUGAGAGGGUGACCGGCCACAUUGGGACUGAGAUACGACCCAGACUCCUACGGGAGGCAGCAGUGGGGAAUAUUGCACAAUGGGCGGAAGCCUGAUGCAGCAACGCCGCGUGCGGGAUGACGGCCUUCGGGUUGUAAACCGCUUUCGCCUGUGACGAAGCGUGAGUGACGGUAAUGGGUAAAGAAGCACCGGCUAACUACGUG